UCUUCUAUGGUGUUCAGUGCACCAGUUUAAUCGGCUAACGUUAUCUUAGCUGAACAAUCAAUGGGUUCCAUGAUUUACCCAGAUUGACUGCAAAUGACUAAAUUAAGUAGUUUUAUU